GGGCAGAACUGUACCUAAAUUACCCCCAGAUAGUUGCCAAGCCAUUCUACUUUUUUAAAGACCUCCAGAGAGCCUUCCUAUUCGCCUCUAGUUUCCCUUUUCUGUGUUUAAUAACCUCUGCUGUCAGGAAUGUCUUCCUCAUAUUUAACCCAGUUUUCCCUUGCCACAGUUCAAUCCCAUUUCUCUUGUUGUCCUUGGUGGUGACAGAAUAGCAGGUCAUUAUCUUCUUAAUAGUAUCCUUAAUGUGGAAGUUUCCCCUAAGCCUGCUCUUCCCCCAGAGAAAUAAACAUACUCCUGUUCUCCUCCUCCCCCCGCCCCGUCGUCUUCUCCAGGGUCCUAUUUGGAACAUAAUCUUUGGCAUUUUGCUCUUGCGUGCCUGAUCCAAAUAAUCACAUCAGGCCUGUCUUGAGACAUCUGUUGAUUCCAUCUGUAUUCAAAGAGCAAGGUUCUUGUCACCUCCUUUGCGCUCAGUUCAUUCGACUUGGCUGCUGCCUGCUGCCCUCCCUCCAGGUGUGAGGUGCCACCCUAGAGGCUGAAGGGGACAUGUGGAGGAGUUCCUGUCUCUGACUUCCACCUGGGAGGAGGGACGAGGACACUUCUUGCCCCUCCUGGCCCUUCUGAUAGUCCAUGGAUUAUGCCUGCUGGCUUUUUCUUUUCCACAAAAACAUUUGAUUCUGAUUGACCUUUUGGGACAUUUUGGGUUUCUGUUGACCUCAUCCUCAGAACGAUAUGGCACAGCAGUAAAGUUGGCAUUAUCCUCUUACAAGCCCUCUCCUCACACUUGAUUCAGUUUUAUAGGUGCUGCAAGGGAAGUUGGAACACACAAACUUUGCUGUGUAAGUGAUGAGUGAACAUGUCUUUCCAGUCAGACUCUGUGCAGUCCCCAUGAAGGGGGGAGAUUGAUCUUUGUAUAUCUCCAGCUCUUAGCAGAAAUGCCCGACACGUUUUAAACAGACUUCACAACUGUUGGUUGGUUGUCAAACGAGGUAUUGGGAAAUUGACUUCACUUUGUUUUCUUAGGUUUUAUUUUACUCAGUUCUUAAUUAGUGCUGGGUGAGUUUUUCAAAGAUAUGCAUUAUCCAGAUGCAUGGCUCGCUCUCCGGCCUCUCUCCUGUUUUACUGCCCACCAAGAUUCAUAUCAAGGGGUGUCUGGAGCCAAAAGUGAUUCAAAGAAGUCAUUCUAACUUCUGGUGGGAAGUGAGGUGAGCAGUGUAGUUAAGAGAGCCAGUGUGAAUGAGAGCUGACACUUCUUACUCAUGUCAUUGUCUGAUGAGUGGAGUCGAAGAGUCUCUGCUUUCUGUAAAUUUUUAAUGGCCGCUCAUGUUUGGAUGAUAACUGAAAUAUUAUCCAGUGAAAUCACUGCUCUGAUCCUUCCACUGCCUUUGUGGAAUCUGUGUCAAGGGACUGUCUUGGUUUUCACACUGCAGAUCUCACUUUCUCCCAGGCUGGCUGGCCCAUGCGCUCUUUGGUUGUUCUGUUGGGCUGUGCUGUGGUGAUCUUGAUUCCUGUACUUCCAUUUGCUGGUCCUCCUUUUUCCUCUUGGGGUCACACGGAACAGAACCUAAUUCCGACACUUGGCAGCCUUUCACAUCUUUGAAAGAUGUCCCUCUGUAUGCACCCACUUAUGUAUGACAUGAUUUGGUCCCUGUUGCGUCCCUACCUAACUACUGCACUUGGGUGACUAUAGCAUGUGGGUCUCUCAAACCUCUAGUAAUAGGUCAAGUCUCCAAGCUGUCUGAGGCUAAGCUACCUCCUGUCAAAUAGUUGCCUCAUGUGGAUUCAGCUGCACUUGGUUUACUUCAAAAUAAUAUUCCUUAAACAGGUAUUUUUUGAGUAUUUACCAUGUGUCAGCACUGGGGGUACACUGGGUAUAGUGGAGAGCAAAAUAACCGGAUUUCUGUCCUCAAUAUAGUGAGAGGUUAGACCAAAUAUCCAUUACGUAUGUGUCUGUGUCUGUGUAAUGUAUCAUUGCAAAUUGUAAAGGUUGAGUGCUGCUUAUUGUCUGGUGACCCAAAUCAGGUACAGCUGCGAACAAGCUCCCUAGCCAGAUGGGGCCACUGGCUCAGCCCUGAAGAUGGGCAGGGCCACUGGCUGGGAUGACUGUGCGGGUACCUCUGUGAGCAGGAAUGUGAUCUUGGGAGCCUGGUUGUUGUUGGUGUCGCCCCCUUCUCUGUCUCUAUUUGAUCUCUAGCUGUUGAGCCUUACAGAUUAUCUGAAUGAUCCCCCAUAAGAUGAGACCCAAUUGGGCCUCCCAAGAUGUGUCUGCCAAUGCUGCGGGAGCUGGAUGUCCACCUUGGGCUCUCAUUAUCCCCCUGAAGAAACUGCAGGCCCAGGGAGCCCUCUGGGUGAGGUGCUGUGCCGCCUGGGGGAGGGGCGAUGAGGUCCGAGUGUAACUGCUCCUCCUGCCCUUCUAAUGUGGUUCUUCUUGGUCCAGGAGGGUGCUUCAGCCUCAUCCCUGGGUUCUGAGAUUUUCAUAAUGCUGUCUUGUCUACGGUUAGUUGCUAGUCGGUCUUUUUGUGAGGGGGACUGAAGUUGGGAACAACCCAUGUCUCCUUCUUUUUUGUUUUGCUUUUUUUUAGGGCUGCAUGUGUGGCAUAUGGAGGUUCCCAGACCAGGGGUCUAAUCAGAGCUGCAGCUGCCAGCCUUUGCCACAGCCACUGCAAUGUGGGAUCAGCCAAGUCUGUGACCUACACCAUAGCUCAUGGUAAUGCCAGAUCCUUAACCACUGAGUGGGGGGCCAGGGACCGAACCCGUGCCUCCAUGGAUACUAGUCGAGUUUGUCAUCACAGAGCUACAACGGGAACAACUUGUGUCUCCUUCUUGAUGACAUUACUGUUUUUUUUUGGUGUGUGUUUUGUGGGAUAGACCUGAACUGAUUUAAGUGCUGAGAGACAGGUUGAGGAGAAGAUACUGAAGAGCAGAAGGAGUACUGGGAUACAGAGCACAGGGAUUAGCCUGAAAGAGAAGCAGAAAUAGCUGUACCCCGUAAUGCGAGGGCUGGAAGAGAGAACUGGUGCUGACAGUGAAGUGUAUAGGCUUGGUGAAGAGAAGUGGGAAAGUCUUCUACUUUGUAAUGAUUUAUCUGCUUAGAGUGAAUGGGGGGUGGAAGGAUUGGAGGCUUGAGUUAAGUAGUGCACAGGCCAUUAAGAAGAGAGAACUGACUAUAGGAAAACACGGAAGUUAACUCAGUGCUCAGUUAAAGGUGGAAUCUCAUGAAUUUAUAGUGGCAACAAUCUGUGCGUUUGGGUGAUUCUCCCCAGAAGUGCUUCACUGCCCAUGUAUAUGCACGUUUUUAAAAAUUAUUUUUUGUUAUUUUGUUGAGAUGUAACUCACAUAUUAAAAAAGUCUCCACUUUAUAGUAUAUAAUGCAGUGACUUUUAGCAUAGUCACAUUUUUAUUAUCCCAGAAAGAAACUGUGUACCCCUUUAGCCAUCACUUCUCUUUCUCUCCUCCCCCUUGCCUUGGAAAUACUAAUCUUCCUAUGUCUUUGGAUAUAUCUAUUAUGGACUUUUCAUUUAAAUGGAGUCAUAAAGUAAGUGGCCCUUGGCAUCUGGUAUCUGGUAUUUUGCUUAGCAUAAUGUUUUCAAGGUUUGUCCACUUUGCAGCAUGCAUCAGUACAUCAUUCCUUUUCAUGGCUGUAUCACAUUCCAUUGAAUGGAUAUACCACAGUUUAUCCAUUCAUCAGUUAAUGGACAUUUGGUUUAUUCUUACUUUUUGGCUGUUAUGAAUAGUGCUACUGCAAAGAUUCAUGGACAAGCUGUUACAUGGACAUAUAUAUUUUCAAUUAUCUUGGGACUAUACGUAGGAGUAGAAUUGCUAGGCCGUAUGGAAACCUGUGAAGUUCUUGAGGACCAUAUAAACUGCACUAUUUUGCAUUUCCACCAGUAACAUGUGAGUAUUCCAAUUUCCCUACAUCUUUGCCAACACUUGUUACUGUCAGUCUCUGUUAUUAUAGCCAUCCUAGUGGGUGUGAAGUGAUAUUUCCUUUCAAGUGAGCACUUGGCUUUUUCUAGAAGACUCAGUGGUGGAAAAAAAAGUUGUAUGUUUGAGAAUGAAGACAAAUGGAUGAUUGAAGUGAUGGGUCAUGCAGUGAAAUACAGAAAUGUGCAGGACCCAUGGGAGGGAUACCAUAACUUCACCCCUCACUACACUAAAGGGUGUAAAGGAGGCCUUAUAUUAACAAAGGGCUCAGUAUUGAUCUCAGAAAUAUUACAUGUAAGUGAAAUGUAACUCCAGCAAAAUUGCCAAUGAACACUUUUUGCUAAAAUAGUUACAAAUUUCAACUGGAACUAUAAAUGCAUAUGAAUGCCUGGGAUGUAUUUGGAGGAAAAAAAUAUAUU
rnacentral:lncRNA from 1 species